CACGUAGGUAGCUACCCUUUAGCGGGGGAUAGCCCGCCGAAAGACGGAGUAAUCCCGCAUAAUCCCCGCCUUUGGUGGGGGAAAGAGCUUGACUGCUCACUAAAGGAGGCGCCUGCGGCCUAUCAGCUUGUUGGUAGGGCAAUGGCCUACCAAGGCAAAGACGGGUAGGGGGCGUGAGAGCGUGGCCCCCCAGAAUGGGACUGAGACACGGCCCAUACACCUACGGGUGGCAGCAACUGGGAAUCUUGCGCUAUGGGCGAAAGCCUGACGCAGCGACACCGCGUGAAGGAUGAAGGCCUUCGGGUUGUAAACUUCUGUUAAAUAGCACCGGCUAACUACGUG
rnacentral:rRNA from 1 species